rnacentral:RNase_P_RNA from 1 species
CGGGCGGGAUGCCGCCUGUGGUGAACGGAGAGCGGUCAACGGAACUCAGGACAUGGGCAACGCGCCUGGUAACGCCAGGGGGCAAAGUCGAAGAUGCCGGUGUAAAAACCGGCGCUACGACGGCGCUACGGAAAGUGCCACAGAGAAUAGACCGCCGGCAGAGCGCAGCACGGUGGCAGUCGCGUAGGGAAACCUGCGGGACGCCGAAAAUGCACGCAACGUUAGGCAAGGGUGAAAAGGUGGGGUAAGAGCCCACCGCUCCGGUGGUGACACCGGAGGCACGGAAAACCCCGCGUGGUGCAAGGCCAAAUAGGAGGGAAGAGCCGGCCCGGCUCGUUGAGCGCGUCUUCUAACGAAGACGUGCUUCUUGCGCGAUGGCGUGAGCCAUCGUGCAAGAGAACCCUCGGGUAGGCUGCUGGAGUCACGGUGCGAACCGUGACCUAGAGGAAUGAUCGCCGCGGCGCAUAAUUCACCGUGUGAAUUGUGCGCCCGACAGAAUCCGGCUUACAGGCUCGCCCGCCAA